AUGGAUGUCGUGGGGCUGCUCCUCUGCCUGGUGGCCACUCCCUGCUGUGUCCUGUCCGAGGUGCAGCUGCAGGAGUCGGGCCCAGGACUGGUGAAGCCCUCACAGACCCUCUCCCUCACCUGUACUGUCUCUGGUGACUCCAUCACAACCAGUAGUUCCUACUGGCACUGGAUCCGCCAGCUCUCAGGGAAGGAGCUCGAGUGGAUGGGACGCAUCUAUUACAGUGGCAGCACAGCUUAUAACCCAUCCGUCAAGAGCCGCAUCUCCAUCACCAGAGACACGUCCAAGAACCAGUUCUCCCUGCAGCUGAGCUCUGUGACCGACGAAGACACGGCCAUGUAUUUCUGUGCGAGAGACACAAUGACAGGAAGUCAGCGUUCUACAUGUAACACUACAGAGGAACUCAUAAUUGGCCAUAAUGACAAUAUAAACAUGCCCUAUGGAAUAGAGCGCUCAUCUGUUCCAGGCCAUGUUACCUUUACUCGAUUACACCAGACACAAGAAAUGGACCAGCACCAGACAGUGGUACGUCGUGCCCAACUAAUGUUCAGAGUUGCUGUGAUCCAGUGA